rnacentral:piRNA from 1 species
GAUGUGCCAAAAAACGGGUCAUCGGGCCCU